rnacentral:rRNA from 1 species
UACGUAGGGGGCGAGCGUUGUCCGGAGUUACUGGGCGUAAAGGGCAUGCAGGCGGUGGUGCGCGUGUGCUCUGACAGCGCCUCGCUUAACGAGGCGAGCAUGGCACAGACGGCACGACUUGAGGGCGCGAGAGGGACACGGAAUUCCGGGUGGAGUGGUGAAAUGCGUAGAGAUCCGGAGGAACACCGCAGGCGAAGGCAGUGUCCUGGCGCGUAUACCUGACGCUGAGGUGCGAAAGCCAGGGG